rnacentral:rRNA from 1 species
AUGGAAGCUGAAGCAUUAAUGAUGGGCCUGAAGUUAGCAGAAAAUUGGACAUCCACUCCCAUGCGGUGGAGAGAUUCAAUGAAAAAUAUUCAAGGCGUGAAGAACCAGUCGGAGUACCGCACUUUAGAGGCAGUUGUCACUUAUGAUUGCCGGAAUUUGAUGGCAAGCUUUGGAAGGGCGAGGAUGAUGCACCGGGGGCGAGAAGCAGAUUCACAUGAACACUUGGUCGAUUUUGUUUUAUUGACAGGCCUGAGAGGUCAAGGGGAACCACCCUCUUAUUUCCCGGUUCCAGUUCUUGUAAAGGAUAUGAUAAUCAUUUAA